rnacentral:rRNA from 1 species
AACGCGAAGAACCUUACCUACCCUUGACAUCCUAGGAAUCCUGUAGAGAUAUGGGAGUGCCGAAAGGAACCUAGAGACAGGUGCUGCAUGGCUGUCGUCAGCUCGUGUUGUGAGAUGUUGGGUUAAGUCCCGUAACGAGCGCAACCCUUAUCCUUAGUUGCCAACGCGUGAUGGCGGGGACUCUAAGGAGACUGCUGGUGAUGAACCGGAGGAAGGCGGGGACGACGUCAAGUCAUCAUGGCCUUUAUGGGUAGGGCUACACACGUGCUACAAUGGACAGUACAAAGGGUAGCGAAGCCGCGAGGUGGAGCCAAUCCCAAAAAGCUGUUCGUAGUCCGGAUUGAAGUCUGCAACUCGACUUCAUGAAGUCGGAAUCGCUAGUAAUCGCGAAUCAGAAUGUCGCGGUGAAUACGUUCCCGGGCCUUGUACACACCGCUCGUC